AGGCCAUUGAUGAGCCUCCCUAUCUCACAGUGGGCACCGAUGUGAGUGCGAAGUAUAGAGGAGCCUUCUGUGAAGCCAAGAUCAAGACAGCAAAAAGACUUGUCAAAGUCAAGGUAACUUUUAGACAUGAUUCUUCAACAAUGGAAGUGCAGGAUGACCACAUAAAGGGUCCCUUAAAGGUAGGAACUGUUGUGGAAGUGAAGAAUCCGGAUGGAACUUACCAGGAAGCAGUUAUCAACAAAUUAACAGAUGCAAGUUGGUACACUGUAGUAUUUGAUGACGGCGACGAGAAGACUCUUAGACGCUCUU